rnacentral:rRNA from 1 species
ACAGAUGGGAGCUUGCUCCCUGAUGUUAGCGGCGGACGGGUGAGUAACACGUGGGUAACCUGCCUGUAAGACUGGGAUAACUCCGGGAAACCGGGGCUAAUACCGGAUGGUUGUUUGAACCGCAUGGUUCAAACAUAAAAGGUGGCUUCGGCUACCACUUACAGAUGGACCCGCGGCGCAUUAGCUAGUUGGUGAGGUAACGGCUCACCAAGGCAACGAUGCGUAGCCGACCUGAGAGGGUGAUCGGCCACACUGGGACUGAGACACGGCCCAGACUCCUACGGGAGGCAGCAGUAGGGAAUCUUCCGCAAUGGACGAAAGUCUGACGGAGCAACGCCGCGUGAGUGAUGAAGGUUUUCGGAUCGUAAAGCUCUGUUGUUAGGGAAGAACAAGUACCGUUCGAAUAGGGCGGUACCUUGACGGUACCUAACCAGAAAGCCACGGCUAACUACGUGCCAGCAGCCGCGGUAAUACGUAGGUGGCAAGCGUUGUCCGGAAUUAUUGGGCGUAAAGGGCUCGCAGGCGGUUUCUUAAGUCUGAUGUGAAAGCCCCCGGCUCAACCGGGGAGGGUCAUUGGAAACUGGGGAACUUGAGUGCAGAAGAGGAGAGUGGAAUUCCACGUGUAGCGGUGAAAUGCGUAGAGAUGUGGAGGAACACCAGUGGCGAAGGCGACUCUCUGGUCUGUAACUGACGCUGAGGA